rnacentral:rRNA from 1 species
GACGAACGCUGGCGGCGUGCCUAAUACAUGCAAGUCGAACGGAGCGGCGGACGGGUGAGUAAUGCCUAGGAAUCUGACUGGUAGUGGGGGAUAAGGUCAGGCAACGGGCGCUAAUACCGCAUCCUAUCAGAUGAGCCUAGGGCGGAUUAGCUAGUUGGUGGGGUGAAGGCCUACCAAGGCGACGAUCCGUAACUGGUAUGAGAGGAUGAUCAGUCAAACUGGAACGGAGACACGGUCCAGACUCCUACGGGCGGAAGGAGUGGGGAAUAUUGGACAAUGGGCGAAAGCGUGAUCCAGCCAUGCCGCGUGUGUGAAGAAGGUCUUCGGAUUGUAGAGCACUUUAAGUUGUGAGGCGUUACCAACAGAAUAAGCACCGGCUAACUUCGUGCCAGCAGCCGCGGUAAUUC